CAGCCGCCUCGGUAAUACGUAGGGUGCGAGCGUUAAUCGGAUUUACUGGGCGUAAAGCGUGCGCAGGCGGCCCGUUAAGACAGGUGUGAAAUCCCUGGGCUCAACCUAGGAAUUGCGCUUGUGACUGGCGGGCUCGAGUACGGUAGAGGGGGGUGGAAUUCCUGGUGUAGCAGUGAAAUGCGUAGAGAUCAGGAGGAACACCGAUGGCGAAGGCAGCCCCCUGGGCCUGUACUGACGCUCAUGCACGAAAGCGUGGGGAGCAAACAGGAUUAGAUACCCUGGUAGUCCACGCCCUAAACGAUGGGUACUAGCCGUUUGGUGCGCGAUAGCGCUGAGUGGCGAAGCUAACGCGUGAAGUACCCCGCCUGGGGAGUACGGCCGCAAGGUUGAAACUUAAAGGAAUUGGCGGG
rnacentral:rRNA from 1 species